CCAUCCGAUCUGGCAUUUUGCUCUGUAGCUCCACCCACUUAUGGUUUUGUUGGUGUGGGUCUGAAACGGUUGGCGCUUCAGCUGGAUGCUUCUGGUUUCAUGGCGGAGCAGCAGAUGGGGACGGACAAAUUCCCUCUGUUUUACGUUGCUACCAUUGCAAACGGCAGAUGAUCCUUUGGGAUGUUAUUGGAGCUCCUUCGGGCGGCGGGUGUGGACUCCUAAGGAAACCAUGCAUUUUCCCUGAUUGAUGCAGAAUUUAUUUGUACUUUAAUAACAGGUUGUCAGUCCCUGAGACGGGGAGAACUUCAUGAUGACCAGCUUGUUCAGACGCAGCAAUAGCAGUGGGGGCUCCAGAGGCAAUGGAAGUGGUGGGGGCAGCAACGGACAGGGCCAGCUCAAUAACAGCAGACCCAACAGGCAGGUGCGGCGCCUAGAGUUCAACCAGGCUAUGGAGGACUUCAAGACCAUGUUCCCCACUAUGGACUAUGAAGUCAUUGAGUGUGUGCUUCGCUCCAACAAUGGUGCUGUAGACGCCACUAUUGACCAGUUGCUUCAGAUGAGCAUCGAUGGGCAAGUUUCGGAUGAUAGCUCCGACUCUGAUGACAGCAUCCCAGCAGAGAUUCUUGAGCGGACACUUGAACCGGACAGCUCAGAUGAAGAGCCACCUCCUGUCUACUCUCCACCAACCUAUGACAUGCAUGUAUAUGACAGAAAAUGCCCUCAGGCCCCGCCAACACCACCACUAGGAUUUGAAACACAGGCACUGGCCGGGCGCCAGCAAGGGGCCAAAUUCACAAGCUGGAACCCCCCGCUUCUUGGCAAUCUCCCAGAAGAUUUCCUGCGAAUCCUGCCUCAGCAGUUGGAUGGUAUCAAGAGUUCAAAGACCACUCUACCCCAGCCUUUAUCGGUGUCUUCUUUACUACCAUCUAUGGGAAACCAAUGCAGAUCAAUGCCAGAUUCACGGUCUGCAGCUGCGGGGAAGAACGCAGGCCCAAGUCUCGCACCAGCACCUACAGAACGAGAUCACAAACUCAAACAGUAUCUAGAAGAUGAGCGCAUUGCCUUGUUCCUUCAGAAUGAGGAGUUUAUGCAAGAAUUGCAGCGUAAUCGUGAGUUCCUCAUUGCCCUGGAGAGAGAUCGCUUGAAGUACGAGUCAAAGAAAUUGAAGUCCAAUCAGUCGUCUGUCAUGGGGACUUUCACAGGUGAUGAGUGCUGUGGAGCUUCCCUGGACGCUGUCUCAGACGAGGCACUCUUCAGGGACAAACUCAAACAUAUGGGCAAAUCAACCAGGACAAAAUUGUUUGAACUGGCCAAAACUUUCUCUGAAAAGACUAAGAGAAGAAAGUCAAAGAGCCGGACACUCCUGAAGCACCACUCAUUGGGCACAGCCAAUUCCACCGCCAACCUCCUUGACGACGUGGAAGGAAACCUCUGUGUAGACGAUCGUCAUCAGAAGCAAGAAGUCUCCAAGGAUGAGAAAGAGUAUCAAAACAAGCCAGAAUCUUGGUAAAUUUAAGGCAUUUGUUUCUGUUCUGUCUUUGGAUUGAUAUCGUUGUUUUUCCAAACAACAGAUUAACACUCCAGUGGCAUCAGGAACUGACUAUCAUCAAGUCGACUUUUGUGUCCCAUGUUGAGAUCCUCUAUGCUGCACUCCGAGGGUUUCCAUGGCAUGAUGGCAUCCUGUCCAAGGGCUGGUGGCCUUGCAGUUCUGUCGGUGCCACAUGCUUAAUAUGAUAUUACACUGCCUGUUACAAAUGUUGUCUUCCUCCACAGGCAGGGAAUUGGGACUCCUCUUUGUUUGGGUUUUAAUAUUUGUCUGUAGUCUAUAUUAUUGUUAAAAUAUCAUUUAUGACACCAUGAUGUGCUUUUCGUAGCAGUAUUCUUUUUUCUCUCCUAAUGGGUGCCAGACAAUAGUUGAUAAUAUUUCCCCAAGUU